GCGGGGAUAGCUCAGUUGGGAGAGCGUCAGACUGAAGAUCUGAAGGUCGCGUGCUCGAUCCACGUUCACCGCA
rnacentral:tRNA from 2 species